rnacentral:rRNA from 1 species
ACUUAAGCAUAUCAAUAAGCGGAGGAAAAGAAACCAACAGGGAUUGCCCUAGUAACGGCGAGUGAAGCGGCAACAGCUCAAAUUUGAAAUCUGGCCCUAGCGGUCCGAGUUGUAAUUUGUAGAGGAUGCUUUUGGUUAGGUGCCUUCUGAGUUCCCUGGAACGGGACGCCAGAGAGGGUGAGAGCCCCGUACGGUUGGACACCGAGCCUCUAUAUAGCUCCUUCGACGAGUCGAGUAGUUUGGGAAUGCUGCUCUAAAUGGGAGGUAAAUUUCUUCUAAAGCUAAAUACCGGCCAGAGACCGAUAGCGCACAAGUAGAGUGAUCGAAAGAUGAAAAGUACUUUGAAAAGAGGGUUAAAUAGCACGUGAAAUUGUUGAAAGGGAAGCGUUUGCGACCAGACUUUUUCCAGGCGGAUCAUCCUGUGUUCUCACCGGUGCACUUCGCCUGGUUUAGGCCAGCAUCGGUUCUCUUAGGGGGAUAAAGGCCUGGGGAACGUAGCUCCUUCGGGAGUGUUAUAGCCCCUAGCGUAAUACCCUUCGGGGGACCGA